GCGGGUGUAAUUCAGUGGUAGAAUGUCAGCUUCCCAAGCUGAACGUCGCCGGUUCGAAUCCGGUCGCCCGCU
rnacentral:tRNA from 5 species